rfam:TPA: Bos taurus chromosome 7, whole genome shotgun sequence.
UCUCUGAUGGUCCAGUGGCUGACUCUGUGCUCCCAAUGCAGGGAGCCUGGGUUCAAUCCCUGGUCAGGGAA